GAUCUGAGCCGCAUCUGUGACCUACACCACAGCUCACAGCAACACCGGAUCCGUAACCCACUGAGCAAGGCCAGGGAUCGAACCCACAUCUUCCUGGAUACCAGUCGGGUUCAUUAACCACUGAGCCAUGACAGGAACUUCCUCAAAUAUUUUUCUUAUUAUGAACAAACAACAUACAUCUAUUCCUAGGUUUCUGUCAAAAUGGGAUUUUUUUUCCCCCCAGAUAUUCUGAAUUUUUUAUGGCUGAUUGCCAUUUACACCCAACUUGAAGAACUUAAAGGAAACCUUAGUGAUACAGUGUCAUAUAAAUGGGUCAUUUGAAUGUUAAAUUGUCACAAUGAGGGUAUGGGUAUACAUACAUUGUUAAUAAGUUGGAGAGGCACAACAUUCUAGUAACCUUUGACAUAUCACUUCAUUCUGGAAAUGCUGACCUUUGAUGGUGCCCCCUUCUCACUCCAGGAAAAAGAAAAAAGAAAGGAAGCUUUGCACAUUUGCCUCUACCUGUUGGAUUAAAAAUUGUCUUGGGAACAAUACACAGUUAAGAGAGCUGAAGGUUGGCAUGCCUCUCCUAUUGGCCUUGAAUGAUCACUGUGGGGUGUUUUGCUCUAACUGUCCUAAAGGGUAAAUCAGAGUUUAUCAGUCUCAUUAAUCCGGGCUUCCACUGGGGCCUGGGUGAAAAGGUUUAGAAUGUGAUCAGUAUGCAGCUUUCAUGACCUUUCUUUUGAGCAAGGAUCUUAGCAAGGGAGAGAGACCUCAUGUAAGUCUCAGCCUCCACAGGAGGUGGUUUGUUCAUUCCUGUAUGGGGAUGAAAGGAACCAUAUCGAAGUCAAUUCAGCAGAGAUCAUGAAAAGGUCACUGGGACUGUAUGCUCAUGUCAGGUAUUCUCAGUGCAGACUAACUGUGUCCAGCUUUAAUUUUCUGCUCCUCAAUCUAUUUCAAGUCAUGAAAUUUGUUAACAAGGAUGGCAGAUAUCUUUAUCAUUUCCCUCUAAAAUUGUCCCUAUCAGAGGUCAAAGAGGAAGGAUUGGCAUUAGAUGACUAUUUAAUGUCUUUAAUUCACUAGAAGUGCCUUUAUUUUUAUACAUGGCAUCUUUAUUGAGCCGUACAUUAAAAAAAGAGUGGGGAAAAUCCAAGUCUUGGUUGGGUAUAUAUGAGUGUCCGAUGUGUAGAAUAUAAUCAACGUGUCUUUUGCAACUUUCUUCCAUCUGUCCCUGACACCACCAUAGCUUAAAAGAAUAAAUUCUUAAUUCUGGUGAAGGAGAGUCCAAGGAUAUAGAAUGUUAUAGAAAUAAAAAUGGUGGAGUUGAGGAGGGCAGUAAGCCAAUUAUUUCUCUCUGUGCUUUUGGUGCUUCAUGAAAUCAUAAGGUAGGAGGUAACAUGGUCACAUCAUAUGUGAACUCUUGGAACCUCUGGGAGUCUUGGCAAGGUUUACCAUCAGAUGGGGCUGAGAAAAUGUGCCAUGAUGCUGUUACCCUUGAAUAUAGGUUUUACUCCUCAGGACAUCAGUAGGAAUGAUAUCUGUGGUCAAGUUGACCUUCUUGUGAUUGCAUUUGUAUCCAUAGGAGACCUAUAUGCACAUAUUGCUCAUUCUUCUAUUUUACUCUAAUGUGAACAAGAAGAGUGGUUAUCUGACCUCACCUCAGCUGGGGCAAAUCAACAGGCCUUAUCAUGUGUACAUGAAUAAGCUAUAACUAUUGAAUGCUAUUGUGUUUUCUUUGACUGAACACACACACACACACACACACACACACACACACAAAACCUAAUUUUGAAGCAUGAUAUCUAAGUGAUUAUCAGAUCAAGUGCUUUAUUUAUCAUUAAUGCCUAAAUUAUACUAAAUGAUGACCAUAAAAUAUAGAGGGUGUCAUUCUUAUUUCCUAACAGUUCACAGUCUAGAGUGAAAAAAUCUUGUUAUAUUCUUACAUUCUCUUACAUCUAUUAAAUAUUUAUUUUACUUUUAAGAAAGUUGUGAUGAAUAAGUUUAAUGCAAAAUAUAACCAGUACAUCAACAAAAUCACCCAAUCCUGCAAUCUUUCAUGACCUUAACUAGAAUCUUGACUUGUGAUUUUUGCAUGCUCAUUGUUCAUAACUCUUUUAACAACAUCAAUUUUAUUUUGAAAUUGCUUCUAUUCUUCCAUUGUUGCAGUUCCUUUAAGACCACUGAACACUCAAACUCCAUGAAGGUUUUGUGAGCCUCAGGUCUGGACAACCUGUUCCAUCCACUCUCUGACUAUAGUAGCAGAAUCAGUAAUAGAUUCAGUAAUAAAUGUUCCUGCCCAUUGGCCUUGAGGAAGAAUGGGUAGUGGGUACAUGUCAAUAAGUUUUUUUUUUUUUUGAAAGUACCAGGUAAGAGGCAGCAAUGUGUUUGUAAAUCAGCUAUAGGGUGGUAGGGGCUAGGGGUAAUGCAGAUGGGAAAUCUUGAUUUGUAGUGUUUGCUGAUUUCUCAAAGAGUAAAUACUCCCAAACUGGAAGAUUUCAAUCUACUGAAUUGGUAUCACUAAAUACAAAGUUUUCUUUAUGGUCUUUCAACUCAAAUGGGCAAUAUCAUGCUCUGAGGAAUGGGGUUUACUGUCCUGUUAUGUCAUUAUAUUCAUAUAUUAUUCAUAACACCUCUAUGCAUGCAGAUCCUUCUAAGAGAAAUGUUCCUGCCCACUAGCACUGAGGAAGAGGCAGCCCUGCGUAAAACAAAGAAAUCUUCCCCUUCUUCCCAUGCAUUGACUGGGCAGGACAGGAUAUUGACCAAGGGGAGUCAACCUAGAGCUGUAUAGAAACUCUGAUAUGGAAAGCUAGCCCAAUGCAUUUCACUUUCUCUGGGAUUUUAAUGGAGAAGACAGAGAAAAUCAAACAAUUGGUAGCCAUUGCUGAAUCUGUAAAAGAAUAGAAAGUCAGAAAAAAAAAAAAAAAAAAGACAUUAAAAUACAGAGCCUCCUUUGCCCUGGGAUAUACAGAUAGACCAGCAGGUUCCCAGAGUUGCUUCAUUUCCUGCUGACACUCUUGUUCCAGAUCUGGACCACAUAUUUUCUUAAGAGAAGCUCUCCUUUUGCUGAGGCCACUUGAGUGAGUCUGUCUACUUUUAACCAAAAGAUGUUUAAGUAAAAUAUAAAUUUUUACCAGGAAUCAAGUGCAAGCAAGUGGAAAUGAUGGGGCAAUUGGAAUUACUUAGGGCAUUGCAGCGGCUAUGAUACAGCUAAUAAAGUCCUGAUCUGUGAUUUCUGGAGAAGAGAAGUAUCAGGACUCUACCUAACACAAGAAGUUAGGCAGCAAGCUAAUACCCUUGGACUUACUAGUUCCGUUAAGUGUCUUACCAUCCAAAAUAAACAGCCUUGAGAGUUCCCAUUGUGGCUCAGAUGUAAUGAGCCUGACUAGUAUACAUGAGGAUGUAGAUUUGAUCCCUGGCCUCGCUCAGUGGGUGAAGGAUCCAGCAUUGCCAUGAGCUGUGGUGUAGGUCACAGAUGUGGCUCGGAUCCAGCAUUGCCGUGACUAUGGCAUAGGGUGGCAGCUAUAGCUCCAAUUGGACCCCUAGCCCAGAAACUUCCAUAUGCUGCAAGUGUGGCCCUAAAAAGACAAAAACAAAACAACAACAACAAAAACAAAAAACAAA
rnacentral:lncRNA from 1 species